rnacentral:rRNA from 1 species
UCCUACGGGUGGCAGCAGUGGGGAAUAUUGCACAAUGGGGGAAACCCUGAUGCAGCCAUGCCGCGUGUGUGAAGAAGGCCUUCGGGUUGUAAAGCACUUUCAGCGAGGAGGAAAGGUCAGUAGCUAAUAUCUGCUGGCUGUGACGUUACUCGCAGAAGAAGCACCGGCUAACUUCGUGCCAGCCGCCGCGGUAAUACGGAGGGUGCAAGCGUUAAUCGGAUUUACUGGGCGUAAAGCGAACGCAGGCGGUUGUAUAAGUUAGAUGUGAAAGCCCCGGGCUCAACCUGGGAAUUGCAUUUAAAACUGUCCAGCUAGAGUGUUGUAGAGGGGGGUAGAAUUCCAGGUGUAGCGGUGAAAUGCGUAGAGAUCUGGAGGAAUACCGGUGGCGAAGGCGGCCCCCUGGACAAAGACUGACGCUCAGGUGCGAAAGCGUGGGGAGCAAACAGGAUUAGAUACCCUUGUAGUCA